CUCCAGACUCCUACGGGAGGCAGCAGUGGGGAAUAUUGCACAAUGGGGGGAACCCUGAUGCAGCGACGCCGCGUGGGUGAAGGAGCACCUCGGUGCGUAAAGCCCUAUCGGCAGGGAAGAAAAGCGAACAGGUUCGCCUGGACGGUACCUGACUAAGAAGCCCCGGCUAACUACGUGCCAGCAGCCGCGGUAAUACGUAGGGGGCAAGCGUUAUCCGGAUUUACUGGGUGUAAAGGGAGCGUAGACGGCAGCGCAAGUCCGAAGUGAAAGCCCGGGGCCCAACCCCGGGACUGCUUUGGAAACUGUGAAGCUGGAGUGCGGGAGGGGCAGGCGGAAUUCCUGGUGUAGCGGUGAAAUGCGUAGAUAUCAGGAGGAACACCGGCGGCGAAGGCGGCCUGCUGGACCGUAACUGACGUUGAGGCUCGAAAGCGUGGGGAGCAAACAGGAUUAGAUACCCUAGUA
rnacentral:rRNA from 1 species